rnacentral:rRNA from 1 species
AAUAUAAGAAGAUCUAGAAACCUAAAAUUUUUGGCGGUUUGUUAGCCUGGUUAGAGGAAUCUGCUCUUUAAUGGAUAGUCCUCCGUGGAUUUUACUUUUUUUUUAAAUAUCGCCGUCGACGUCAGGUCAAGGUUUAGUUGAUAGAAGAGGUUGAAGGUGGAUUUAAAAGUUGAUAGUGUAAAAUUGAGCUCUGAUGAAUGU